rnacentral:rRNA from 1 species
ACUUUAGAGAGACUGCCGGUGUUAAGCCGGAGGAAGGUGGGAUGACGUCAAGUCCUCAUGGCCUUUAUGUCUAGGGCUACACACGUGCUACAAUGGGUGGUACAAAGAGAAGCCAACUCGCGAGAGCGCGCCAAUCUCAAAAAGCCAUCCUCAGUUCGGAUUGGAGUCUGCAACUCCGACUCCAUGAAGUUGGAAUCGCUAGUAAUCGCGGAUCAGCAUGCCGCGGUCGAAUACGUUCCGGGCCUU